GUUAGCAGCACAAAAGAGAAGGGAGUUGGCUGGAACAUGGUAUCUCUUGGGAAGUUCGUGUGUGGCAAUGCUAAGAUUGAAACGACUCUAAAAACAGAGCAAAAACACACAUCUUCCUCACACCCGGCAAAGCGCAUACUGAAAUGGGCAACUUCAGUAUGCAGUGUCGGUCCCAAAAUAGCUGUGUCGGUCCCAGAAUAUUGGAAAGCCAAGAUGGGUCACUUCCUGAGGAUACUGGCUUCACUGUUAUUCACUGCUGCUCAGGUUAUCACUGAAAUGUGCACACAAGGACAAAUCUGGGUCAUCGAUUCAUCACCUGAACUUCAACUGAUUUCUCCUGCACUGAUGGUCUAUCAUCUCCUCUCAAUGAAAACAUGAACUUCUCUGAGUGUGUCCCACUUUCAGUGAUGCAGCUCGGAAGGUUUUGCUGCACUGAACAACCUACAGCCCAGACUAUUCAAUCCGUUUGCAGAACAAAACAGCCUGGAACUAUUUUGCAAGCAAAGACGCUAGUCUGAGCCACAUGAGUCCUCCUCCAGUGUAUAGGUUCCUCUAUCAGAUUACUAAUUUGGUUUUCAAAGGGGAUUACAUGCUAAGCAGUAGCUCUUUAUUUAGGAGGAAGGUAAACAAAUGAUGUAGGCAAGAUGUUUGCAUUUUCA